rnacentral:rRNA from 1 species
GCCGCCGCGGUAACACCGGCAGCUCUAGUGGUAGCAGUUUUUAUUGGGCCUAAAGCGUCCGUAGCCGGUUUAAUAAGUCUCUGGUGAAAUCCUGUAGCUUAACUGUGGGAAUUGCUGGAGAUACUAUUAGACUUGAGACCGGGAGAGGUUAGAGGUACUCCCAGGGUAGAGGUGAAAUUCUGUAAUCCUGGGAGGACCGCCUGUUGCGAAGGCGUCUAACUGGAACGGUUCUGACGGUGAGGGACGAAAGUUAGGGGCGCGAACCGGAUUAGAUACCCC